rnacentral:sRNA from 1 species
UUGCUAUCUGCGAUAUGUAAGAUUCGAACCUGCCGCAGGUCCGGGUCUCACGCAGUGAGACAACGGAGCCGUUUACGGCGACGGCCCGAAGGGCGAGCGAAGCGAGUCAUCCUGCACGACCCACCA